rnacentral:rRNA from 1 species
GACGAACGCUGGCGGCGUGCUUAACACAUGCCAGUCGAACGGAAAGGCCCUGCUUUUGUGGGGUGCUCGAGUGGCGAACGGGUGAGUAACACGUGAGUAACCUGCCCUUGACUUUGGGAUAACUUCAGGAAACUGGGGCUAAUACCGGAUAGGAGCUCCUGCUGCAUGGUGGGGGUUGGAAAGUUUCGGCGGUUGGGGAUGGACUCGCGGCUUAUCAGCUUGUUGGUGGGGUAGUGGCUUACCAAGGCUUUGACGGGUAGCCGGCCUGGGAGGGUGACCGGCCACAUUGGGACUGAGAUACGGCCCAGACUCCUACGGGAGGCAGCAGUGGGGAAUAUUGCACAAUGGGCGGAAGCCUGAUGCAGCAACGCCGCGUGCGGGAUGACGGCCUUCGUGUUGUAAACCGCUUUCGCCUGUGACGAAGCGUGAGUGACGGUAAUGGGUAAAGAAGCACCGGCUAACUACGUG